GUUUCAAUUUAAGCUCAAUUUAGCUCAAAAAUCAAGAAAAUAAAGAAAUUGAGCUUCUGGAUUUUUGGGCUUAAAUAAAGAAAUCAAGAAAUUUAGUCUCAAAAUUACGAAAUUAAACUUCUUGUAAGAAAUCAAGAAAUUUAGCAUAUAAAUUUUAAUUUUUGGGCUAAAUUUAGCUUAAAUUGAAAUUUUUUAGCUAAUUUGAACAAAAAGUUGAAAAUGAUUUAAAUUGAAUUUCCCCAAUGAAUACAGGGGUUAAAUUGAACAUUUUGCCGUUUAAAAAAAACAAUUAGGCUUGUUACCUUAGCAACCCCAAUGGAACAACCUUUUUAAGCUAAAUAACUUGUUCAAAAUAAACAUCUUUACCUUCAGUCAGUUACAAUGCAA
rnacentral:misc_RNA from 1 species